rnacentral:rRNA from 1 species
UACGUAGGGUGCGAGCGUUAAUCGGAAUUACUGGGCGUAAAGCGUGCGCAGGCGGUCUGUUAAGACCGAUGUGAAAUCCCCCGGCUUAACCUGGGAACUGCGUCUGAUACUGGGAAGCUUGAGUUCGGGAGAGGGAUGUAGAAUUCCAGGUGUAGCGGUGAAAUGCGUAGAUAUCUGGAGGAAUACCGGUGGCGAAGGCGGCAUCCUGGACCGAAACUGACGCUGAGGCGCGAAAGCUAGGGGAGCAAACGGG